UGAAAAGUAUUUUUCUAACUCGGCCGUCGUAAUACGGGCGUUGUCGAUUCGCACCAAAACUGACCCCGAGUGCAUACAACGUUCGUAAUUUGCACCGAAACGGAGACAACGCACCCGCCAUCUCAGGUAGUAAGAUGUGGGAUUUGUGUAGUGUUGAAAUUUAAAUCGAUUGUUCUUUCGAUAGUGUCUACGCACAAGUUUCGAUAGCAGAGUGCCCGUAUAACAUAAGAAUUUAGACACGGGAAACUUAAGACACAGGAUG